AACGCUGGCGGCGUGCCUAACACAUGCAAGUCGAACGGAGAAUUUUAUUUCGGUAGAAUUCUUAGUGGCGAACGGGUGAGUAACGCGUAGGCAACCUGCCCUUUAGACGGGGACAACAUUCCGAAAGGAGUGCUAAUACCGGAUGUGAUCAUCGUGCCGCAUGGCAGGAUGAAGAAAGAUGGCCUCUACAAGUAAGCUAUCGCUAAAGGAUGGGCCUGCGUCUGAUUAGCUAGUUGGUAGUGUAACGGACUACCAAGGCGAUGAUCAGUAGCCGGUCUGAGAGGAUGAACGGCCACAUUGGGACUGAGACACGGCCCAAACUCCUACGGGAGGCAGCAGUGGGGAAUCUUCCGCAAUGGACGAAAGUCUGACGGAGCAACGCCGCGUGAGUGAUGAAGGAUUUCGGUCUGUAAAGCUCUGUUGUUUAUGACGAACGUGCAGUGUGUGAACAAUGCAUUGCAAUGACGGUAGUAAACGAGGAAGCCACGGCUAACUACGUGCCAGCAGCCGCGGUAAUACGUAGGUGGCGAGCGUUGUCCGGAAUUAUUGGGCGUAAAGAGCAUGUAGGCGGCUUAAUAAGUCGAGCGUGAAAAUGCGGGGCUCAACCCCGUAUGGCGCUGGAAACUGUUAGGCUUGAGUGCAGGAGAGGAAAGGGGAAUUCCCAGUGUAGCGGUGAAAUGCGUAGAUAUUGGGAGGAACACCAGUGGCGAAGGCGCCUUUCUGGACUGUGUCUGACGCUGAGAUGCGAAAGCCAGGGUAGCGAACGGGAUUAGAUACCCCGGUAGUCCUGGCCGUAAACGAUGGGUACUAGGUGUAGGAGGUAUCGACCC
rnacentral:rRNA from 1 species